rnacentral:rRNA from 1 species
ACGUAGGACCCAAGCGUUAUGCGGAGUGACUGGGCGUAAAGAGUUGCGUAGGUGGUUAGUAAAGUGAAUAGUGAAACCUGGUGGCUCAACCAUACAGACUAUUAUUCAAACUCACUAACUCGAGAAUGGUAGAGGUAACUGGAAUUUCUAGUGUAGGAGUGAAAUCCGUAGAUAUUAGAAGGAACACCAAUGGCGUAGGCAGGUUACUGGACCAUUUCUGACACUGAGGCACGAAAGCGUGGGGAGCGAACCGGA